UCGGUCAGGUUCAAGGAAUCAUUUUUUUUUCCAAUAAUAUAUAUGAUCUGUGUCCACUACAAAACAAAAUAAGUUUUGUUCACAGUGAUUAGAACGUAAAUAACAAAAACUUGUAAAAACAAUCCUAUAUUUUAUUUAAUACUGUAGCAAAUUAACCAGGAGUAGGACCACUACAAAAAUCCCCACAUCAAUAACCUGCAGUAGUGAGGAUUUCAUUAACUUUUUUAAUAACAAAAUCAUAAACAUUAGGGGAAAAAAUUCAGGCUUUAAAAUCAGGCAAUUUCAUUGAUGCAGAUAAUAAACUAACCAUAUCAGAUCAGAACCUAAAAUAAUUUUCAGCAAAAUCAUCAAUCUGUAAACUAGAUCCUAUACCAACACAUUUUUUCAAGCAGAAAGUACCAGCAUUAACAGAUCCCCUGUUGAACAACUAUUCACUCAGCAUGCGCUACAUAUGCUGCUCAUGAGCUGCCAACAAUCCAGACCCCCCUCUACCCUCUGGACCUGUUUGAGUCAUCCUGGUGCCGUGCUUCUAGUUGAAGAUCUCAUUGCAUGGAGGCCCUGUGUGGUCUACUUGGGCAUGUGGUGACUGGGGACAGCUUCACUUUAUCAUGAUUUACCAGCUGUUCUCUGAGGACUGCAUUUGCUUCAUAAUCAGGACUGGAAUUUUAUCAUCGUCGCCCUCAGCUUGCUCAUCAGGCACAAUCUAAUAAUUUUAACUCGUACACAUUUUUCACAUUUACACAUAUCCAUAUUCUUCCUCUGAAUCUGUAAAGCAGCUUGCGACAGAAAACAAGCUCUUUACAAAUAAAAUUGAAUUGAUUUGAGUGGAGGUUAUGAGGUGGUAUCAAAAAGUUUAAAGACUCAUUUUGUAAUAUGACCACGUCCGUUACGCAGAAAAAAACAUCACGUUGAAUUUUGCCAAGAACUUCAUCAGCAUGCCAUGGAUGAUUCGUCCUUUAUGUCGAGGAUCAUUACAGGUGACGAAACUUGGGUACGACUAUGAGACGAAGCAACAGUCUUCAAAGUGGAACAGCCCAUGACCGAAAAAGGCGAGCUAAACAAUGUUUGAGGCUGCGUACUACCACAUCAGCAGAAGUGGGAAGGGCUACUGUGUAGGACAACUUUCUCACGCACACACACACACUAACGGAAUCACUGCUGUCUAACAGAGAAGCUCCUGUAGGCUCACUAGAAGGAGGAACCUGGACCACAAAUGCUGUCUGCUGACUCACAUUCUUCGAUGAUUCUAUUCAAGCUGUUUUUUUCAACGAGCGCUGUUCCUACUCUGUGCCAUAACACCAAUGCUCAGGCUGCCAAAGCAACUGCAAAAGGACGCAAAUAUAAAUGGACAGACAUCAGCAUCACUGAGAUGUACCACUACAUUGGGAUCAUAUUUUACAUGGCCAUGGUGAAGUUGUCCUCCAUUACAGACUACUGGAGAGAGAACAGUAUUUUCACAGUACCUUUUCCAGCUACUGUUAUGUCAAGGGACAGAUACUGGAUGAUAUCUAGGAACGUGCACAUGAGUCACCCAGAUGCAAACAAGGAGAAUGACAGGAGGAGAGGCACAUCCGAACACGAUUGUCUGUUCAGGGUUAGACCUCUUAUGGACACUAUCCGUCAUGCUUGCAAAUCUAUCAUCCUAAAAGAAAUUUAGCUGUGGAUGAGAGAAUGGUGGCAUGCAAAGCACGCACAUGAAUGACAGUACAUGAAAGCCAAGCAAACUAAGUGGGGAUUUAAGUUGUUUGUUCUUGCUGAUUCUUUAAAUGGGUACACUACAAUGACAUUUCGUUGUCCUGCACCUGUGACCGCGUACAACCAGCACAUGGGGGGCGUUGAUCUCUCUGGUCAGCUAUUACAGUACUACACUGCACAGCACAAAACAAUGAAGUGGUGCAGAAAGAUUUUUGUACACUUCUUGGACAUUGCUGCCACCAAUGCUUUCAUUGUGCAUAAAGAACUAUAUGGUAACCUGUCCCAUAACGAGUUUAUGGAACAACUUAUCAAAGAGCUUUGUGGUGUCUCACAGGAAGUAGCACCAGAAUUGACAAGUAAUAAUUGGCCUUCGGUUCCGCCCCUCUGAUCCCGGCCUUUUUCUGCUUCAGACCAGUACAGUAUGUGAGUAGUUUUGGCAGUUCGCCUUGUCUGUUUGUUUCUAGGAACUUUUAAUGAUGUACACAAUCUGCUUUUUCUACAUGUUACAUUCACACUCUAACCAGACAGAGAAGCCAGCGGCUA